GGGAGGCUUUUUAAACCGAGGGCGAGGAGGGGGUUGGGGGGGGAACAGUAUUGCUGCUGGCCGCAGACCCUGCUCGCAGUUGCAGGCCCCGCCGAGCCACUGCGGCUGAGUCCUCAGCGGCCUCCAGCAGAGAGCUAGCUGCAUCUUUGGGGACAGCAGGACAGCGAACAGUGCGCAAGAGAGCGGCCAGCACUGGGGACGCAAGGAUCCUGCAGCCGUUCUCGCGAUAUCUCGUUUCCUAAAGGCGAGGCGCGGAUGGCAUUCUGCAGUGAAUUACGAAGGUCUCGCCGAUUCUGAACGUAAUAUCGCGAUAGUUCGCACAGCGCAUGCGGGAGCCGGCGGCGGCAUAUUGGCUCCGCCCCUUAGUGCUCCGUGAGGUUGUGCGUCAUUUGCUUUUCGCUUCGCGUGGGGUGAGAGCGGAGCUGUAGCGAUUUCGGCUUGGGUGUAAGGAGAGGCUUGGGACGGGCUGGGCUCAGUUUUUCCCCGGUCCGGUGGAGGUUCUCCUGGGAUCACGCGGAGGCGGCCGAGGGUGGCUGCUGAGUGCAGGAGCUGCGGAGGCGCGAGCAGCGUCUUCUGAUGGUGCUGUUCUUAGCCGGUAGAUCUCUGAGAAGAGAGGAAGGAGUGGCACUACCAAAUAAAAACUUUGUCUAAGAUUCAGUGACAAAGUUCAACCUUGAAUUCCCAGGAUGUUUAUCGUUUGUCUCCCAGUAUGGCCAAAAAGCACUUAUGAAGGUCCUCCAGUAGCCUGACUUGAGUGGUUUUAGUGCUUCAGAGGAACAAACCAGUAGACCAUAAUUUGGUCAGGAAGAUUCAGGAAGGUGUUGGAGCAGUGUUGGGAUUUCCCACCAGGAUGACUAUGAUUGACUGUGAUUUUAGCUUCAUAGUUCUACUCUUUAAAAAAAAUGAUGGAGUCUGAUAAUUGUUGUGCAUUGGUGUGGAGCCAUCUCCUGGAGCAUGUGCAACUUACCAGUGGCCACUUUCCUAAAGAAAAAUGACUUCCCCAAUAGCCAUCGGCUACUGGUAACUCCUCAGGUAGGGGUAGGCGCCGAUGUUCCUUUCUUAUCCAUGUUUGAAUUUUGAUUGGCUUGAUUGUGCAGAUAGGUACUACAGCUGCUGUGAGUUUAUGAGUACAAUACUAUGCCAUAUCUAGAAGACAUUUUAUAGCAUUCCUCCUUGUCCUCUGGCUCUUACAUUCUUUCUGACUCCUCUUCCUAAAUAGUCCCAGAGCUUUGGGGCAGGGUUGAUAUAUAUUGCCCAUUUAUGAGUGACUACUCAGUCACUUAGUCUACAUUAACUGCAGAAAGAAACUUCUGACCAAGGUUGAGAACAGUUUAUUAUUGCCUUCAGCUAAAAGCAAUUUUGGAACCCUCUGUUGCAGGGAUUCUCAAACUGUAGUCCCUGAUGUUCUAUUUCCUGCACAUUGGCAGCUGGGUCCAGAGGUGUGAUAAAUUCACGUUCAUUCCCUCUGGCAAGCAUUGGAGGAGGGUAUGUGUUCAUUCACAGUGUUGUGUUUUAAUGAUGUGAGUUUUCUUUUAGUUCAUUAAAGGGUUGGUGACAGUGAAAUGAUAAUGUUUCAAUUCUGGCAUUUUAUGUUUACCCUCAUUUUUUAAUUUGAUUAAGCAGGAUGAACACUCAGUUUUUGUCUCUUAAAGUGUGUGUGUUUGUGUGUGUGUCCGUGUGUCCAGACUUGCUUCAAGUGUCAUUCCUCAUGCUGUUCACUUAUAUUUAUUUCUUGUUGUCUUUGAGAUAGGAUCUUCUCUGCCUUCCUAACGAUGUUAUUCUAAGCACACUACACCUAGUUGUUUUUGUUUGUUUUGUUUUAAAUGUGGGUCCUGGAACCUAAGACCCUGUGCUUGUAAGUAAGCAUAUACUGACUGAGUUGUCUUCUCAGUUCCUUUUCUUUUUAGGUCUGGCUUGGAACUCACUAUGCAGCCCAGGCAGACUUUUAAGUUUAUGGUAUCCUCCUGCUUUUGCCUCCUGAGUGCUGGGAUUACAGGUAUGAUUCACACCCAGCUUUUCUCCUUUUAAACACAGCCUCACCUUUUUUAAAAAAAUUGUUUAUAUAUCUUUAGUGUAUGCUAUGUAUGGGUGCCCUUAGAGGGCAGAAAAGGGUAUUGGAGCCCUUAGAGCUGGAGUUAAAGGUCAUUUUGGUUCUUGGAACUAAGCUCCAGUUCUCUGCAAGAGCAGGAAACUCUCUUAAUCACUGAGCCAUCUCUCUAGCCCCUAAAUACAACUUUUGAUAUAAUGGUUUGGGUUCCUAGUAGUUUCUGAGGGUUUUGAAAAUGCUUAUGACUAGAUACUUAUGGAUAUAAACAUUUGUGAAUCUAAUGUUUUGAAGUACAAAUGGUAUUAUGUUCUGCUAGGAGGACUUUAUAACAUUAUAAAGUUGGUUCCUGAUUAUUCCUGGCACAAACCCCAGUUUUUGGUACUUUCCUUGUUAUCAGUAUGUCUGAAUGUUCCAAGCUUAUUCUUGAACAUUUCUGCCCCAGAGCUGGAAUCAGCUAAUGUGAUAGGUGAGGUUGAAAGAAAUUUUCUCUUUGCCAUGGUAGUGCUAAGCUUUGUACUUAGUCUCUGUUUUCUCUUUCCACUUGACCUUCCCAGGUUGCUUCUUUAUGUUUUUUCUUUUUGUCGUUAUAGCAAAUUUUUAUUAGAAUUUAGGUGGGAAGGCUUGAGAAGUCUCGAUAAAAGUAGAAGGCAUGGAGUCUAGGCAGUUCUAGAUUUGGGGCUUCACACUUUAUCAUUUGGAUAAGUUAACCUUUUGUUUCAUCUUUGGAAAUACCUUUUUUAUUUGACUAUUGGAUUCUGUUUUGUGGUGCUGUAUACUGCAUUAGCUGCCAUGAUCUUUCCUUUUACAAAGUUCCUUACUGUUCAUUGUCUUCCAAUUCAAGGUUCUGCUAUAACCUUAUUGAUCUAUAAUGAGUCCUUACAACACUAAUCAUUCAUCAGCAUCAAUUAAGAUAGAAAAGAGUUAAUGAAUAUUAACGCCUUUAAAACCAUUUAUUUUGUGUAGUUUUAAAGGACCAUAUAUGGUUCAGUAAGUGGAAACUUUUUUUAAAUCUGGUGCAGGCUGUCCUUGAGUGCAUCAUUCGCCUGCCUCAACCUUCUGAAUGCUACAAUUCCAAGUGUGCAUCUGCACACCUAGAUCUGUUGUUCAUUUUUAAAGUAAUGUAAAGAUGUCAUUUUCAUUCUUACAUCUUGCCUUUCCAUUUAGUUGAAUAAAAAAUAGGUUUUCUAAUACUUGUGUGCUUCCUCAGCCUUUAAGAUUGCU